rnacentral:rRNA from 1 species
AGCGAACGCUGGCGGCGUGCUUAACACAUGCAAGUCGAGGGAGAACGGAGGGCUUCGGCCUUCCUAGUAAACCGGCGCACGGGUGAGUAACACGUAGGUAACCUACCUCCGAGACCGGGAUAACCUGUCGAAAGAUAGACUAAUACCGGAUAAGACCACGAUGGUUUCGGCCACUGCGGUCAAAGAUGGCCUCUGCUUGCAAGCUAUCACUUGGAGAUGGGCCUGCGCGCCAUUAGCUAGUUGGUGAGGUAACGGCUCACCAAGGCGACGAUGGCUAGUUGGUCUGAGAGGAUGACCAGCCACACUGGGACUGAGACACGGCCCAGACUCCUACGGGAGGCAGCAGUGGGGAAUAUUGCGCAAUGGGGAAACCC